rnacentral:lncRNA from 1 species
AUGCUUCUGUACAGUAAUCCGGCACCGCUCAUAACAACAUCGAAGAUGUGCCUCUUUCUGCUAGUUAUUUUCUCUCUCAUCGGUGCCAGUGCAGGUGAGAUGUCGCCAGCGCCGACACCAGAGUUUCGUCGAUGCUUUCCCCAGUGGGUUAACGCCAGUCAAGUUCAAGUCAGCUGUAACAACACCUUGAUUGCUCAGCUUUGUGAUCCUGAUCAGAGCUGUCGAAACAUGAAUAAUACCGGAGUCUCGCUAGAAAAGGACAGAGAAGGAGUGUGCCUAAACAUCACCAACUGCUCCUAUGAUGCACGGUCCUGCAAAGCACAGAGUUACAUCGAUAGUGAACAAUCUGAGGAGAAUUUUACUGUGAACAUGACGUGCAACCAUGAGUCACAUUCAGAGUCUAUUGCUGUUGGGAUCACUGUGUCAGUCAUCAUCAUCAUCAUCAUCAUCAUCAUCAUCGUCAUCAUCAUCAUUGUGCUGAUCAUCUGUUACAAGAAGGUGACUUGCUUCAGGACAGCCAUUCGUGACUUCUGUCAUCGACAGUGUAUAAAUAGGACUCCUACAGAAAAGCAGGACAAUGAGUCGGAAGAGAGUUUCCUGGAAUAGGAAAAAAUGGUGUAAA